UCUGGAAGAGUGGUUGUAUUCAGCUAGUCCAUCAGCUCCUUGUUUUCUGCUUUGAGGUUUGGUUUGUGUCUCCUGAAUGUUUGCUAAACCAGAGUGAGCAAAAGAGUGCUUCCUGCAGCAUCUCUGAGCGUGCAUGCAGAAAAAAAAGUAUGGGAUUCAGCUCCUGGACUGAGAUGCUAAUGGUUGGAAGUAUCAACAGGCCAAGCCUGGAUGUCCUAAGACAUUUCUGGCUAUGAAUAACGUAAUGAAAGUGAAACACAAACCUGACACAGGUGCUCCAGCAUGGGAAUUGUUCUGGAUCAUACGAGGCUGAAGGAGUGACAGCAGAUGCUGCUUGUGGAGCUGUCAAAAUAUUUAAUCCUUCGCUGGAAGUCGUUACCCAGGGUGUCACCGCGAAGCAGGAGAUCAAAAGAGCACAAUGCCCACUUCUACGGAUCAGAGCCCACGCUGGGUGGUGAGGACUCCUGGGAGGCAUCGAAGGGUCACCCACGAUGACCCCACUGAUGAGCCAAGCAGG